rnacentral:lncRNA from 1 species
GACAAUGGAACUGUGGAUUGCCCUUGAGCUAGAGGGGCUGGUGCAGGACUGGGCCCUGGGACCGCUCAGGUGGGUUCCGGGAGCUGCUUCAGGUGCACCGCCCCCCUCGGAUCGGAGCCUGGGCGUUUUGAGCACAGCGCCGUGGGCUCCUGAGGCGCCGAUGGCGAGGCUGCAGGUGCGACCGCCCUGCUCUGUGCCCCUGAGUUGAGGUGGCGGCCUAAGGUCACGCCUGCCCUUUCGUGGCCCCUGGUGUGGAACGUGCUGUCAGGGGGACGCUGACAUCUGCAAGAACCUCUGAUACACGCAGGUCACAGUCCCUGGUGGAGGGAGGGUCAGGACGGGGCAGGUCUCAGGGGAGAGCAGAGAGCGGAGCAGCAGUGCCCAGGCCCCCAGGGCCACCCGGAACCUGGGACAGUCUCCCACACCCCUGCUGCCUCCUGCGGAGCUCCACGGGGCUCUCGGGUCUGGGUUCGAAUCAGCCCUUGGCUUUGCCACUGUCACUGUCUUCUCCAAGUUUGCGGAGGAAGCAGGGAUUUCAUCUCCUGCUCGUUACUGCUGCCCGAGGUCAUUACUCUCAGGCUGCAGGGGUGGGGACCGCAGCGGUGGGGGCUCAGCCACCUCCCUGCAGGCUGCCUGGGGGCCUGCCGGGCUGGGCACGUCCUGGUCCCUGCUGCUGGCGGCCUGUGACAGGAGCAGGAAGCGGUCCUCCCUCUCCCAGCUGGAACCCAGGCUUUGGGGCAGCACAAGUGGCCUCUCCGAGGUGGCCUUUGCAGCCGUCCUUUGUUCCCGUGAAUGCCAGCCUGGGCUUGCCAGGGACAGCCAGCUCCGCCCGGAGCCCAGGAACCGAAGCCUGCGGUUUCAGGGAAGGCAGCCCGCAGCCCUUGGAUCUCAGGGUCUGA